GACGAACGCUGGCGGCGUGCUUAACACAUGCAAGUCGAACGGAAAGGCCCUGCUUUUGUGGGGUGCUCGAGUGGCGAACGGGUGAGUAACACGUGAGUAACCUGCCCUUGACUUUGGGAUAACUUCAGGAAACUGGGGCUAAUACCGGAUAGGAGCUCCUGCUGCAUGGUGGGGGUUGGAAAGUUCGGCGGUUGGGGGUGGACUCGCGGCUUAUCAGCUUGUUGGUGGGGUAGUGGCUUACCAAGGCUUUGACGGGUAGCCGGCCUGAGAGGGUGACCGGCCACAUUGGGACUGAGAUACGGCCCAGACUCCUACGGGAGGCAGCAGUGGGGAAUAUUGCACAAUGGGCGGAAGCCUGAUGCAGCAACGCCGCGUGCGGGAUGACGGCCUUCGGGUUGUAAACCGCUUUCGCCUGUGACGAAGCGUGAGUGACGGUAAUGGGUAAAGAAGCACCGGCUAACUACGUG
rnacentral:rRNA from 1 species